UUCAGUGCCUUAGGUCUGAGUUCAGUGGAGUUUUCUCCCUGCCCUCGAGUCUGACCCGUGUUCAUCGCUUGAGGGACAUAGCUCUUGAGUUCAAGUCGGUGUAAACCCACUCCACAGCCACCCAGCAUGAUGUAUUUUGUGCAUCGCGUGCCAAUGGCGACCACAGCAGCAGUUCUCACCCUCACCGUGGACAUGAUUCCUCGGAGGUUGUCUCGGCCGUGUGGUGCUUGUUCCUUACUCCUCGCAGAGUACCAAGAAGAAGAUCCUAAAGAGAAGUCUACUCAGUGCUAUUGAUCCAGUGGUGGAUUCCAUCUAACUGCUUAUCGUGUUAGAAGAUCUCAGAUCUCCUCCUGUAAUAAGGCAAGCCCCGGUGCAUUUGCCCCUUCCUUGUGUUUUAAAUGUUUUAUCACCUGAUAUGAUGCAUUAGGUUGAUAGGAGUUGUGUGGUAAACAAUUGAUGCAUUACCAUUCCUUGGAAAUUCCUAAAUCCCUGUUUUAUAAAAAGAAUUAUUACUGCUUAGUCCUGCUUAGAAACUGAAAAAUCAUUUGUUUUAAAAAAGAAUGAUUGUGGAACAUUCGUUAUGGGCUUUUUCAUUCAAAAAUCAAAGCAAACUAAGGUGAUGACUCCACUUCGGCCGGAGUGGGCUCAUCAUUGGAAAAGAGUACCCCUGUCGGGUACCAAAAAUGGGAAAAUGGUUAAUAAAUCUAGACCAGGCGCUGAGCAGACAAGGUCGCCCGUCUGUGUCGGUUAAGGACCGUACCGUUGACUGGCCUGUUGUGGUUGAGACUUUGCAACUAGCCACAUACCCUGGUAUGGGACAGGGUAAGCUUGAACCCGGCUAUUCCAUACGUGAAGAGACAAUCGCGCACUGGGAGUGGAGAGAUGGCGGGAGUAGCAUGUACCCUCCUGGCAUAGUAGCACGCCUGGUAGGGUAAUGUGCUCUCGGGUGGCGCGGACCUGUUCAUGUAGUGGAGGACUCCGUGGGAACGGUUGACAUAUGCAAGGGUUGAGUGCUACAUAUGUCGUGUGGUUAGAGAUCCCCAGCUGGGUAUAAUCGGUUCGAAUCGUCGUUGCUCCUCGGUUAUGGAGACUCAUCCCGGUGACCAUCAUCGUAGUUAGCAAGUGAAAUAUGAGAAUGAAUAAAAUGCGACUAGUAUAGGCCAAGUGCUUGAACUAGACCAGGCAAAUAUAGAUUCAGGUAAUAACCUAACUAGUGAAAUAAAAUUUGGCUUAAGGAUCAACUGGUAGCAAGCUUUUUCUGCAAAAAGGAGUCUUUGAUCAUUGAUAAACUUUACCUUGAUUCCCAAUCAGCUAGCAUACCCUUGAGAGUCUUUUCUUUAGUCGGGUAAGUCUUGCUGAGUAAUUGCGUACUCAGGGUUUUAUCCCCUGUUGUUUUUGCAGGAGAAGUUUUAUUCCCUUAUCUUUUGGUUAGUUACUUCAUGUGGAGGCCUUGAAGCUUAGAAUGUUAUGUGUAUCUCUUAUGGAAAGGCUUCACCCUUCCAAUUAUUAAAAUAAGUUAUGCACUUUGGGUACUAUCAGGACUUGUAAUAAUUACCAUUCUUCUUAUGUUGUAAAACUUGAGCUUUGGAAAUGUAAAAUAUGUUUUGUAAA